rnacentral:lncRNA from 1 species
AAAAAACCUUAAAUCUCGAUCACUAGACCCAAACUCAAAUAUAAACUAUUUAUAUAUAUAUAUAAUAUUUUUACAACAAAAAAAAUCUGAAAAUAGGAUAUAAUAUUUUGUAAUAUUAUACUAUACUAUAUAAAUAGAUAGGAAAGAAGGAGAAGCCAUACACGUCACACGUUUUAUUGACCACACACCUAUGUAUUAAGUGAUUUAUUUCA